CCAAUAGCGUAUAUUAAAGUUGUUGCAGUUAAAAAGCUCGUAGUUGAACCUUAGGCCCGUGCGGGCGGUCCGUCCUCUGGGCGAGCACUGCUCCGUCGCGGGUCUCACCUUCUGGCGAGCGUGGAUGCCAUUUAUUUGGUGUCCGCGGGAACCAGGACCUUUACCUUGAAAAAAUUAGAGUGCUCAAAGCGGGCUCCGACGCUUGAAUACAUUAGCAUGGUAUAAUGAAAUAGGACGAUGGUUCUAUGUUGUUGGUUUCCGGGACCGUCGUAAUGAUUAAUAGGGAUAGUUGGUGGCAUUCUUAUUCAAUUGUCAUAGGUAGAAUUCUUGGAUUUAUUGAAGACGAACUACUGCGAAAGCAUUUGCCAAGGAUGUUUUCAUUAAUCAAGAACGAAAGUUGGGGGAUCGAAGACGAUCAGAUACCGUCGUAGUCUCAACCAUAAACUAUGCCGACUGGGAAUCGGGCGAUGUUACUUUUCUGACUCGCUCGGCGCCCCGAG
rnacentral:rRNA from 1 species